rnacentral:rRNA from 1 species
AUUGAACGCUGGCGGCAGGCCUAACACAUGCACGUCGAGCGGAGCGGCGGACGGGUGAGUAAUGCCUAGGAAUCUGCCUGGUAGUGGGGGAUAACGUCCGGAAACGGGCGCUAAUACCGCAUACUAUCAGAUGAGCCUAGGUCGGAUGAGCUAGUUGGUGGGGUAAAGGCCUACAAAGGCGACGAUCCGUAACGGGUCUGAGAGGAUGAUGAGUCAAACGGGAACGUAUACACUGUCCAGACUCCUACGGGAGGCAGCAGUGGGGAAUAUUGGACAAUGGGCGAAAGCCUGAUCCAGCCAUGCCUCGUGUGUGAAGAAGGUCUUCGGAUUGUAAAGCACUUUAAGUUGGGAGGCGUUACCAACAGAAUAAGCACCGGCUAACUUCGUGCCAGCAGCCGCGGUAAUUC